rnacentral:rRNA from 1 species
UACGUAGGGUCCGAGCGUUGUCCGGAAUUAUUGGGCGUAAAGGGCUCGUAGGCGGUUUGUCGCGUCGGGAGUGAAAACACGGGGCUUAACCCCGUGCCUGCUUCCGAUACGGGCAGACUAGAGGUAUGCAGGGGAGAACGGAAUUCCUGGUGUAGCGGUGAAAUGCGUAGAUAUCCGGAGGAACACCGGUGGCGAAGGCGGCUUCCUGGACCGACACUGACGCUGAGGCGCGAAAGCUAGGGGAGCAAACGGG